CUCUCUCUGUGUGUGUCUGUCUGUCUGUCUGUCUGUGUGUGUGUGUGUGUGUGUGUGUGUGUGCAGUCUAGAAGAGGAAUGCAAGGUGUCUUUCUGCACGUCAGCGCUGGCCUCCAAGAACCAGCAGUUACAGAGUGACAUGAAGAAACUGAUGGCCGUCUUCCACAAGCCGAAGUCUUACGUGGCUCUGCUAGCCGUGCCCAGUGUGUGUUCAGAUGGCAUGUGUCAGAGCAGUGCUAACGCUGUCUUCACCCAGAUGAGUGUGUGUUUACACGGCCUGCACGCCGCCGCCACAGAGCUGUCACAGCACCACAGUCAGAAGGUGUCUUUGGAACAGGAUCUGCCCACCGUCACGCAGAAGUUUCACACCACUAACGAGUGUUUGCUGUCCUCGCUGGCGUCACUCACUAACAGCUGUAGCAAGGUCUUCAUCUCCCUCACACACCCCUCACUCACUC